rnacentral:rRNA from 1 species
UACGUAGGGGCUAGCGUUAUCCGGAAUUACUGGGCGUAAAGGGUGCGUAGGUGGUUUCUUAAGUCAGAGGUGAAAGGCUACUGCUCAACCGUAGUAAGCCUUUGAAACUGGGAAACUUGAGUGCAGGAGAGGAGAGUGGAAUUCCAUGUGUAGCGGUGAAAUGCGUAGAUAUAUGGAGGAACACCAGUGGCGAAGGCGACUCUCUGGUCUGUAACUGACGCUGAGGCUCGAAAGCGUGGGGAGCAAACAGGAUUAGAUACCCGGGUAGUCCCUGA